UUUGUCUGUUCUCAUGAAGGACUUGCUUUCUGCCUCUGGUUUCUGGCAUUCACAUUGCAUUAAGUUGCCAACUUCACUUUUAAUAAUAUCUCCAUUGCAUGCUGAACUUGCCCAGGAUUCUGGAAGCUCCUGAGAGACUGGAGGACAUCUGGGUCUCACAUGUUAGUCUGCUCUCACCCAAGACAACCGUGUUCCGCUUCUGCCCGCUGACCAAGCAGCGUCCUUUUGGAAAAUUACUUUAUGCUCUUCAUUUCUCCAAACUUUCCUUGGAUUUGUGUAUCUAUUCAAAGAUGUCAUCUGGACGAUUGUUCUCUGGAGAAUCAGUUUCUUUGUGGCAAGACUGCACAAGGAGUUGAUGAUGGUUGUAGAGUCAGCAAAAGCCCAGAACUAUGGCAUUUGGAUAAAAGCAGAAGUUUUGGCAAACAGACUAUGAACACAGAAUUGAGAGAUGGAAAGUUGCGCCUCAGGACGUCCAGUCACUCUAUGAACACCAGGAACCCAGACUUGAUUGGCAGCCACCAGGCACCCAGUAUUCCUGACUGCCAAGCACCAGUUCUGCGUGUGGAGUGUGGGGAACACCAUGCUGAAUAGUGAGGCUGGGUCUGCUGAUGUGCUUUCUGCCUUUGUCAGCAUUGCUGUAGCAUCUGUGAACAGACCUUCUAGAUUCUGUCUUGCAAAAACUGCCCUAUAUUUAGCAGUUGCUAUUUGUAGAUUCUUCUGGUAUUUAUUGUUCUACACGUUUGUCUGCAGUGAAGCAUUUGCUCAGAAUUCAGACCAUCUUUGAUUUCUUAUAAGCUUUAUCAGUCAGUCUAAACGCUGCCUCCCCUGUUUUACAUAGCCAUGUGGCCAGAAGGAAACGGUGAUGACUUGAUCCUGACCAUCUCAUCAAGUUCUGAUCACCUUGUCAGAUCUUCAUUACCUAGUACUGGUCCACCUCACAAUAUAAUUAUAACAAUGACUUUUUACUUACUGUGUUUGACACGUCUCUAUCUGGGAUUUGUAAUCAGACAGUCCUUUGUCCACAGCGUGCAGUGGGCAGAAUGACCUCCAUCUCUAUUCCCAGAGAUGUCCACAUGCUAAUUCCCAGAACCUUGAAUAUGUAACUUUACAUGAUGAGGAAUAUGGGAGGCAGCAGAUGGAAUUAAUUCUGCUAAUCAGCUGACUUUGAGAUGGAGAUAUUAUCCUGAAUUAUCUGGGUAAUCACUUAGUUGGUCCAAUGGAUUCUCAAGAGGGAGGUGAGCGAGUCAAUGUCAGAGUGACGCAGCAUGAGACUCAACAGGCCACUGCUGGUUCUGAGGGUGGAAGGAGAGCCAGAGAGCUUCUAGAAGCUGGGCAAGGCAAGGGCAUGGGUUCUCCCCCUACAAAUUGCAGAGGAAACAUCUGCUGAAGCCUUGAUUUUAGACCAGUGAGAUGCAUUUUGGACUGCUGACUUGGGGAACUGUCAGAAAAUAAUUAUUUGUUAUAUUCAAUCACAAAGUUUAUGAAAAUUUGUUACAGCAGCAAUAGGAAACUAGUACAACUCAUCUCUGCCAUGUCUAUCAAUGUGCAUAAUGGGAGCAAGGGCAAAGAUUGUAGGAGAACAUACAACUUCCUUAAAAUGAUAAUUUGAUAGAUUAUCAAAGACUUGAUAAGAAUUGCAUAUAGACUGAGAAGGAAUUGAUGGCCGAUUUUUGGAAAGGAGGCAAGGUACAAAUUGAGUCUGAACUGAAAGAAUAAAAUAAUAAAUACAACAUUUGAGAUCAUGAAUGGGUGAAAGUAGAAGAAAAAAUGCAUUCCUGCAAUUGAGCAUUUUCUGCUGGUACCUUACAUCUUAUGUUGUUUACCCACCUGAUCCCUAAAGAACAACACUUUCCCAAAGCACCACAUAUUCUAAGAGAGGACGCCAUUACUGAAGUCAAGAGAGCAUGUGUUCAGCUAGCUCAUAUUAAUUAUUGAAUUGAUUGAUGCUUUAGCAACACAGCUUCACUGCUCGAGUGUAUCUGGGUACCACAACUCUGAUCAUCAGGGUGGCCAUGAGGGUCUUCCUCUCAAGAGUGACACAGCCUUUGUAGCAGGCAGAGGUCUAAGGUGACCAACAAUGACCCACAGCGCGUACAAGCCCCUCUCUUGUGUGUGGACUUGUGACUUGCUUCUCGACAGCGGAACAUGGCAAAGAUGAUGGGAUCGCAGCCCCUGGAUUAGUUUACACUGUGGCGAAGGUGAUGGGAGAGACACUUCCACAGUUGUGUUAUGCUGUAUGACACUAAGACUCUCUCUUUCACAGACUGGAGCAAGAGAUUUUCCCAUCAGCCCGAAGAAGAGAAGCCCAUGAAUUCUGCAGCUUCAGGGAAAAACCUCAUUCAGCAACCUAAGGGAUCGUGGAAGCAGGUCUUUCCCUGGUUGAAUGUCCAUAUGAGAACCCCACCCAGCUGGAACCUUGACUUCUGCCUUGGGAACGAGGAGCAGAGAACCCAGACUGUGCACGCUGUGCCUGGACUUCUAACUUACAGAAGCUGUGAGAUGAUAAAUGGGUGUGGUUUUAAAACGCUAGUUUUGUGGUCAUUUGUUAUGCAGGAAAGAAAACAAAUACACUCUUUGUGAGAAGUUAAGAGAGGUGAGUGAAGACUUGAUUGGCCCUAGAGCUUAUGUGUCUGCUGGCUGCCUCUUAGUGGAUCAUCAAACCUUUUUUAUUUUGCCUUAUUAUUAUCUCUCAAAUUAGUGUUAUCUCAUCCUGCCCCAGAGCAUACGUGAUAUCGCAAUUUUUGGCACCCUGAGUGAUUUUCUAAUUGAUCUCACUACUUAAUGAUUCCCUUUGUCAACCUUUCUCACCCAAACCGCCCCCUGGGAUCAUUUCCUGUGGUUACAGUUUGAGGGCUGUGGCUGCUCUAUGGAAGAAUUUACAUAUUCUUUUCUCCAAAAUUCCAUCCUAACACCAUUUUACACCUUGCUUUCUUGUUACCCUAAAGAAAGAGGAAAAAAAGAAAGGAAAAAUGUUAAAAAAAAAAAAAAAAAAAAAAAAGAACUCCAAGCUUGGAGAACUUUGAAGAUAGUUUUGCCUUCUUAAAAAUCCCUGCAAAAAUUUUUGCUUGAAAUUCCAAUGUUUAAGAUAUUAUUGACAAGUGUUUUCUCUUUCUGGAAUUUUCUUUUAAAAUAAGUUACUUUGUGGAAGGAUGUUAAUUGUUAAUGGGCUAGUGAAAAUUAUGGGUCGGGUUGGAGUUAGAACUGGGGUGAAGUUGGGAUAUGAAAUUACAAGCAAAUCUGCCCAAGGAGAGGGAUGUGAGUGGGAAAGUGGGAAAGAGAGAGCAGAGGAAGAGUCUGAGACCACUGAAUAAAAGCCUUCACAUCCUUUACCAUAUUUCAGAGUUUUUAUUAAAGAGAAUCACCAGCGUCAGUUUUAUAUGUUCUAUUAAUUUGGCGACUGGGACCUUUCUUCCUUGCUCUUCAGUGGGUUCUGUACCCCCAAAUCAUGCCACGUUCUUAGAGCUCUCCAUGAUUGUGGGAACACCAAGUUAAAAAGCUGGGUAAGAGUCUCAAAGGAAUUGUUUUAAAAUGCUUCUUUAUUUAAACGAGUUGUGGGUGGAAGGUGAAGGUGAGAUUUCAGUCUCCGUGCUGCCUGUCAAACACGGGCUGUGCUGCUAACCUAGAGGAGCUGGGGAUGCUGACUUGCUCUUUGCAAAAUUUUUGAGCAAAAUGGUAAGAUGGUAUAGGGAGUGUUGACUGAUGCCUUAUCCAUAAUAAAACUGAACCCAAUCCCUGCGGAGUUGUGUUAUCUUAGUACGUGUGUGUCCUCCAUUGAUGCUUCCAAGCUGCCCGGGGAUUUCAGGCUUAUAAACUUAUCAUUAUUUCAAUAUUCUUCUGGAUUUCAGAUGCUGGAGAUCCUGUGGAAUGCUGUUUUUAUUCUAUCUAUCUAUAUCAAAAUAAACCCAUCUUGUUUACUGACUGAUAAUAUGAAACUUUGUACUUAUAUCUUCAAUACACAAUGUCUAAGAAUUUGAUCGGUAUGCUGUUUUGGGCUAUUGAGAACCCGAAGAUCUAUAGUUAAUGAACUCUCAUUUUUGCAAAAACAUAUUAAUAUGAAGAGGAAAUUCUCCUCCUUUUGAAGAGGAAAUCAACUUCAAGAGAAGUUGCCAACACGCCAUUGCCACGAGAUUAUAGCUUUUAGUGCCUCUGAAGUAGGUGUUUCUGUUGAGUUUCAGCCUUGCUGGGUAAACCACGAAAGCCACCCUUCUUCCACGAGUAACUGGAUGCGUUAAGAUCUAAUCCCAUGCUUUUUAUGGGAGCAUGGAGAGCGAAGUACAUCAGCGAUCUCCACCUCCAGGCAGCCCCAGAAGAUGAAUUACACCUGGAUUACGUCUUCUUGACAGCACUCACCUUAGCAGAAGGGAGCCACGGUCCCUGUGAAACGUGGUAACUUCUGUGGAGUCAGCCUGCUCAUGCUGGUGUCUAGCUUCUCUAUUUCCAGUGUAAAAAGUUAACUCUGUGAACAUGUAAUUGGAUGACUAUUUCAUGUUUAGAUAAGUAAGGAGUAAAAAACACUAGUACAACUUGGUAACUAAAACCACUCAAACAACAAAGAGAUGUACAUACUUUGAAGGAUUUGGGUUUUAAAAUUCUUUGAAUCUUGAUUCAAAUGAUUUGAUUUGACAUAUUAUGGUAGAAAGGAUUUUCUAAAGGCAAAUAAUUUUUUUUUUUAAGAUUUUACUUUUUCCUUUUUCUCCCCAAAGCCCCCCAGAAC